ACCGCAAGGUUGAAACUCAAAGGAAUUGACGGGGGCCCGCACAAGCGGUGGAGCAUGUGGUUUAAUUCGAAGCAACGCGAAGAACCUUACCAGGUCUUGACAUCCUUUGACCACUCUGGAGACAGAGCUUUCCCUUCGGGGACAAAGUGACAGGUGGUGCAUGGUUGUCGUCAGCUCGUGUCGUGAGAUGUUGGGUUAAGUCCCGCAACGAGCGCAACCCUUGAUUUUAGUUGCCAGCAUUUAGUUGGGCACUCUAAAGUGACUGCCGGUGCAAGCCGGAGGAAGGUGGGGAUGACGUCAAAUCAUCAUGCCCCUUAUGACCUGGGCUACACACGUGCUACAAUGGAUAGUACAAAGGGUCGCGAAGCCGCGAGGUGGAGCUAAUCCCAUAAAACUAUUCUCAGUUCGGAUUGUAGGCUGCAACGCGCCUACAUGAAGCCGGAAUCGCUAGUAAUCGUGGAUCAGCAUGCCACGGUGAAUACGUUCCCGGGCCUUGUACACACCGCCCGUCACACCACGAGAGUUUGUAACACCCGAAGUCGGUAGGGUAACCUUUAUGGAGCCAGCCGCCGAAGGUGGGACAGAUAAUUGGGGUGAAGUCGUAACAAGGUAGCCGUAUCGGAAGGUGCGGCUGGAUCACCUCCUUUCUAAGGAA
rnacentral:rRNA from 1 species